CAAACCCCAGUUAUUAGAUAUUUAAUCCAAUAUUAACCAAACAAAUAAAUACAUGGAGAGAGAGAGGGAGAGGGAGAGACAGAGCGGCGUGGUGGGGAAGAAAGAGAUGAGCUGUUUCUGUGAGCACUGAGUUGAAAACUUUGAAGAACCAUCUGACGAGAACCACUAGAAAGGAAAAGCUAUGGAACUGGGGAGGAAAGUCGUAAAAUUCCCCACAGUUCUCCUUUAGGUGGCUUUACAAGGCCCUGGAGGUCUCUCCACUUCAAAGGCGCUGCGCUGGAAAGGAGCUGGUGCGUCUCGGGUGUGGCUCGCGUCAGGAAGAUGACGGGGCUAUGGUUAGCAGAGCUGCUAAGGAAGCUCUGGCUCCACAUCAAAGACGGGGUGAACGGCACUUCUGUGUUUUCGGUUAAAAUUAAACAGGUUUAAAGGGCAGGUGUGCCAUUUUUUAGCUUUCAGAAAAGUCGUUAUGAAGCCCAACACAUGCAGGGCAAAGUGCACAGGAGCCGCACAGAGAGAGAUUUUGCAAGAGAACCCGCAGCACAGCCAGCACCCAGGUGUCGAUGUUGGGGGAGGAACCCAACAUUUCACACUUGCUGGGCCAGCAGUCUACCACUGAGCUACAUCUGUGGCAAUGAAACCAUUUCUGAAGCAGGCAGCAGGACAGAGCUGGCUGUGGGCUGUCGCCUGCUCACCCCCUUGGGCUGACGCUGAUGCAGUUGAUGAAAAAUCAAGACAUGUGAGGCUAUAUAACUUCUCCAAAGACACGCAGCCCUCCUGGGUGCGCACGGCUCUGACUGCCCUGCUUGUGGGGUGAGGAGGUGGACUGAGGAUAACGGGCCUGGAAGGCCACCCAGCACGGGACGAUCUGCACAGUGUUGCCAGCUUGGGCCGCCAGCACCCUUUUCCAGCUUGGGACUGGCCCUGUGGCCCCUCUGGCAUGUCCUGUCCAGGCUAAGGGGCUCCCUGCAGGUGACGAUGGCGCUGGUGAGAGGCGGGGUCAGAGUCCCGGGCCCUCCUGGCACCACCCAAGUUGGUCUUCUAGAUGCAGGGGCUUGGAGUCCUCGGUCCACCUUCCUGACUUCCGGUGGCCAAGCACACCUGGCCAGGAAGGCGAGCCCUACCCGCCCUGGCUGAGAGCUGAUGUGCAGAUGUAAUAUUUUCCUGGUACCAGGGAUUGAACCCGGCCCUGUCACCAGCCCUUUUACAUUUUGAAACAGGGUCUUGCUAACAUGCUUGGCUCGGCUUGCAGUUUUGUUGCUCCUGCCUCUGCCUCCCAGAGCGCUGGGAUUACAGGCAUGGACCACCAUGCCCUUGUAGCCUGCAGGCUGCCCUGGGGUUGACUGGUCUCCAUCUUUCCCUGGACAGCCCUGCCGCUUGUAUGCAGGGUUUCUUUCCUUACCUUAAGGCUUCCAGAGCCUCUCUCGGCUUUUCAACUUUCUUUUCAGAGAUCGGAACUUCCUUCUCGCUUUGUGUGGUCCCUGGGACCUGGCAGAGGCGGUGUGGAAACGGGCGCCUACUUUCCGGUCUGUCUGUUUUGUUCUGGAUGGGCCAUUUGCCACCCAUUUGUGGAGUUUAGCUGAAAGGUUAAGAAUUUCCCAUUAAAACACUUGUUAUCUCUGCUAUCUCUUUCUGAGGCGGGGCCUCACUGUGCAGUUCAGGCUGGCCUUGACCUGUCUCUGUAUCCCAGGCUGGCCUUGAAUGCUCUGCAGUCCUCCUGCCUCAGCUUCGAGUGCAAAGUUGCAAGUUUCACUACCUUGCCAGUCCCUUUGGAUGAGAAUUCGGUGGGGAGUCUUUCUCGAAGUGGCUCAGGACUCCAGUGUCCCCUGCACACAGAGACUGUCCCCGGGAGAGCUCCCAGGGAAACGUCUGCCUCGGCUCUCCCCACCGCCUCCAGCUGUCUCUCAGAGAUGGUGGUAACGGAGGACCCUCUGGUCACAUGUGCAGCUCACAGAGCAGCACAGGCACAGCACUGUGAAGUGUCUGUGGGGACCCUGACCCAGCCCUCCUGCAGAUCCAGGCCCUUCAUAUGCAGACUCCAUGUUUACACUCGCUUCUCACACUGACCAGAGAAUACAUAGACACACUGUGGCUAGAGAAAGAAAAUGGGGACCAGAGAGAGCACCUGACCUCCUGAGGACCCCAUGGCCAGAAAACAGCGGAACUGGCCCCAGAGGUCCUGGUCGCUGGUCCGGCAGCCGCCUGGUCUUCCCAACCACACAGCCGUGAGCUCCUGUAACUCAAGUCAGGCUAAGCUUUUCCAGCUGAAGUCAAGGAGAGGGAACUGGGCAGAGCUUCUCUGCGGACUCCCGAAGGACACUGGCUGAGCUGGUGUUGGGACCUUCUCCUCGUUCUGAACCCAUCUUUAUAAAACAUUCUGCUCGUGUGCAGAGGACAAGGAGUCCCCGGAUGACUCCCAGAGCCACUUCAGGGUCUGCAAAACUGGAGCCAUCUGAGAGCACUCCUCCCCGGCGCUGGUCUUGUGUGCUCUUGGAGGGGUUCUCAUCAGGCUUCCGCCCCACCCAGAAGUCGGGAACCACGGGGCACACGGGUCCCUACCUCACACCCUGCAGAAUGUGCAUCAUGAGGCUCAGGUUCAAUUACUUUCCACAUCCACGUGGCUCAUCUUGGAGAGACAUGGAACACAAACCUGUGGUUUCUUACUCCCAGUGUCAAAUCCCACUGCUGGUAGACACGGCCACGGAGUGGGGCUGAACAGCAGUGCAGGGGUGUCUGGGGCUCUGGGCCAGCCGGCGUAUAGCACACAGAGAGAAGCCGUCGGUCGGAACCUGGUAUGUGGGACUGGCUCUGAGGAGGACAGUCUGGGGUUUCCACGGGUUCCCACGGUGGCCUCACCAUGGCAGCAGGAAAGCAAGGCCCCAAGAUGAACCCCUCAGGAUGAACUCUACCGUGCCGGGCCACCCCAUCACCAGCCCACCGGACGUCAUACAUCAGACUGGCUGGGGCCACUGGCUGGGGCUCGGGGCUGUGACAUCAUGGCCAUGCAAUUUGACUUUACAGUCUGAAAGGACCAACUUGGGAGUUUUAUCAUGUUUCUGCCGGCUGGGCAUGAAGUCAGCUGGCCGGUGUGAGCCGGGGAGUGUUUCACUUGUAAUUAGCUGGGUGCUUUUUUUAAAAAACAUUUUAAUUUUUUGAUAUUUUGCCUACACCGCAGUGAACCUUGAGCCAGCCUGCACUCACUACCCCCAGCGGAAGCCGAGAGGGUAAGGAAACAGUGUUGAAGCUGGAGAGCCCGUGCUGAGGUCUGAGAUCCCGUGCUGAGGGGAGCUCCAGCAAAAGGCUCAUCCUCUCCUGACCUCGGUUUCCAGAGCUCCGCUGUGGAAUCCUCUCUGUCUGCACUGUGGCAUCUGCCUCCUUCUUGCAUCCUCCAGACCACUUCCUGGGCGGGGCAGCUGGAUAAGCAUUUGGAAACUCAAAGAUGGAAAAAAAGUUGCCUGAAGUUUACUCAAGAUGAGUGACGGGGAAGGAUUUGAAACUGGGUCUUCUGACCGCAGCCUGCUCUCCUGGAACCUACUACACUUUAUCCCUAGGCUCGCUCCAGGGAGAAGCUGGCCGGAGGCAGAAAGAAUGCUGGUGCCCUUGUCACGGGCGCCGUUAGCAUCCUCAAAGCCCUACCCGGAACCUGAGAGGCCGGUUCUCGGGAAAACAGACAUCAGGACGAAAACUGUGCCUUGGCUCAUUAGAACCAAAACUCUGACUUGAGUUGCAGUAACUGGAUGAGACUUUCACUUGCCGGCUGCCUCUCCUGGAGGUGGGCUUGACUUACGGACCCUCCCGGCUACCUCGGCCACGUCUGUAACCUCAGCGGUUCGGGAUCAACAGAUGAGGAGUUUCUAACCAACCCCAUGUUCUCUGAGCCGGUUGCAGGCGUGGAGCUGCUAGCCCCUGUCUCAGAACAAACUGUUAAUCAGAAGGAAAUGUCACACCAUAAAUCGACAUGAAUUGGGUAUGACCGUCCCUGAAUGGUUUUACCCUGCCAAGAGCAUUCCUGGCUUUCUAACACUGGUUGACACUGGCCCUGGCCCAGCGGUUUCCAGUUUUUCUUUAUGGAGGCGAAUGGACUAAACUCAGCACUUUCUCGGAGCCUCACAGAGGCACACUGACAUCAUUUGGACGCUACAGGAACCGCAUAUUAGGCGGAAUUCCACUCUGGGUUCCACUUCCGCUGCCCCCCCGAAAUCAGAAUCCCGAGAGUAUGCUUAAGUGUGGGGAGCUCGGCCCGGAGCUGUGAUUCUCUGCAGUUUUAAUGACGCGUCCCUCAUCCAUUUGCCCCAGGAGGAGAGGGGGUCUGCCUGGGGGCCUUUGCUUAUUGGCUCCCUUCGAUGCCUGGCUCUUCUAGUACCUAACUCAAGAAUUUCAAGAAGAUAGUGAAGAACUGCCUUUCGACAUUUUGAAUGUGGAACAUAGCACACGUAGUCCAAACCCUGUGGCUUAAUAUUCCACCACCAGCUGCAACAAAAACCCAACAACAACAAAAACAAAACGCUCAAACCACACUGCUCGAGAAGGAAAAAGCACUGGAGUCGGGGUCUUGCUGAAGGAUACGACGAAUGUGGCAAAAACAAAUAAAUAAAACCAGGAAUCCGCCUUCCUUAGCCAGGGUGCUUUCCGUGCACCCAGCAGGAGAGGGAGAUGACCACGGAAUUUUUCUGCUGUAUUGGCCAGUGGGAAGGCUCUGGUUUUUAGAGCCCAGGAGAACUGAGUCCAAGUGCGCUACUUCUUUGUGUGUGCCUAGUUUCUUAGUUUAGCUGGGUCUUAGUUUCCCAAUUUGUAAAAUAGAGAAGACUAAUAUACACCUUCUGAGGGCGUUGUGACACCACAGGAGGACUCAGGAGGUAUUUGUGAACCUUGAGGCUCUUUUCCAUGCGACUCCUGAGUCACGAUGAUAGAAACUCAAACUUGCUUGAGCGUAAAAUUUGCCAGGUGGCCUGCAUGGUUUGGGAUAGAUUUGGGUUCAAGGAGGCUCGUUCCGUAGGCAUCGCGAGAAAUGGUAAAGUUCUUCUGAAUCAGCGGCCUUCUCAGGCCGGCUUCUUUGUGGUGUGGCACACGGCUGUCAGCAGCUCCAGGUUUCUGUCCACAAUGUUCCAGAAAGAACAGUGCGGUCGGGGAGGAGGCCCAGCCAGCAGUGCUCCAAAAGCAAGGAAGAGAGUCCCUUGGGCAGAGCUUUCGGCUCUCAGGCGACCUGGGACCCCUCUGAGUGAGCCAGUGAACACCAGGGACCCACGCCCCUCCCCACAAACCAGUGUGCGUACAAAACUCACGGCUCUUAGGUCUGCAGGUGCACAAGCUGAAUGCCUAAUGAACAGAAUGCUCACUCUGUACCGACUCUGGUGCAAUCACUCCUUGGGAAUUAUCUCCUUUAAUCCUUCCAGCAACCGGAAGAGGUACCUACUGUUACAUUCCUUCAUUAUAAAUACAAGAAAACUAAAACCAAAAUGUUAUGUAACCAGGAAAAGUUUUCACAAAGGUGUGCAAAUAAGUCGGAUUGAACCAAGCUGUCUCUGGAGGGAGAGGAAAUGAAUCAACCCACCACACCCCGAGGCCUCUGAAGACCCCCUUCCCUGGCAUACUGUUCCCCCCUGCUUCCUGAAUCCAAAGCCAAACAGACCAAGGCUGUCCCCCAGCCUGACCACGAAAGCCAAAGCCCCCCAAGUGCACACCCUCCCUGCUCGGAAGGAUUCAGUUCCAGAGGUGUUACUAAAAGAUGUCCAGACGCUUUGAAGUAAUGAGCUGUCUCGUUCCAGUGGAAACUUCCUCUCCGCAGUCUUCCUAACCCCGAAGAAUGUGCAGAAAUCCCUCCUCCGCCUCAGGGUAUCAGAUGUAGUCACAGCCCCAGCCCUCACCCUCUCCCCCCUCCAGUUACACUACCAGUCCUCAGUAAGCCCAGGCGCAAACAACAUAGGAACAGAGCCCCAGAACAGAGGCCUCCUGCUGACAGAGACAGGCAGCAGGCCACAACUAAUCAUGCACAUUUAUUGGAGAGCUGGUAAGCAAAUCAAUGUCAUCAAUGAUUUAUUCUCUAAUUUGCUUUGAGUAUGCACCUCAUAAAUCAAUAAUAGAAAAUGGCAUUAAGAGUUGGUGUUAACUGUCAGUAAAAGGCAGAAUACUGCCUCUGUCCAUUAAAGAAUGUGUGUGGUGAGUAUGGCCCUGUGUUAUAUUAGGUGUGGUACAUUUUAAAAUUGCUUUUUUCACGUAAGAAGCAGUGUUAGGGGUUUGAAGAGGACGAAGAGCUGUAAAUCCACAGCUUCGGAUGCCGGUGUUCCUGCAACGCUCAGUAAUCUGACACAGAAGCCCCGUUCAGGAGGAUUCGGGGAGUGGACAGAUCGUUCUUUGGUUCCAGGCCAGGUUAAAUGAACCCAGAACCGGUGUCAUUGCUGACAUCACAUCAGAAAGACACAGAACACAAUAACAUUUGGCAUUGUACUUUUUUGGGUACCAGGUAAAAUGUACUCUGUCUUUUCCUGGGGGGUACCUGUAGGUUACGGAAAUUAAGCAAUCAUCAGAUCAUUUCAUAGAUAAGAAGGUAACAAAAAUUAUUAUUAAAAACCACACUCUUCACUUGGAUGAAGACGAGAAGCCAUCACAGUAUAGGAUGAAUUUCCAUUUGAGUCUCGCCUGGAAACACCGGUCAUAUUCAAACGCGUGGUACAAGGGGGAAAUGUAUGUUUACAGGAGGAAGCUGGCUCCUCGUCUUAGGAAAUCGGUGGCCACAAGCCACAAAGGGUCCAGCGGGGAGAAGUUGAUGUGCAAGGCUGGGGUGAGUGCAGACUUGGAGUCCAGUACAUGUAGGGUGCAGUCCGGCUCCACUAACUCCCUGGUCAGUGAGCGGGGCUGACCACUGUCACAUCCCAGCGUCUCUGCUUCCCUGCUGCUGCAUCCAUCCCCUCAGUAACAAAACAAAACAAAACAAAACAAGCCUCACUAACACCCACUCCAUGAACUGCAUGAAGGACUACUGAAGAUAUCUAUCUUGAAUCUGUCCAGGGACUCCUUUUAUGAAACUUGCCCCCUGCAUUUUAUCUGUCAGGUUAUUAAAUUUCUCAUGUUGGGACAUCAUGAUUCUGCUGUUUAGCAACUUAUCAGUUUAUGGUCAGUCACUUGACCCACGCUGAGCCAAUCCGAGCACUCCUCUGAAAUUUAGGAACUCAGUAUGAUGUGUAAAUCAUGGGGAUUGGUGGCUGUGGGUUUCUAAUCACAUGGCUUAGAAAAGCAGAAAAAACAGUCUGCAGAGAAUGCGACUGAUAAACAGACACACAGAAAGGAGUAGAUGGGAGGACAGAGACUAACCCAGCACUGCAAGCUGCCAGCCUGUCCUCCUCAGCAGCUCUCCCUCAGCUGGGCUUCACGAAUAAUCUAACAGCACCGUCACGUGCUUUGCAUGCUGGCUCGAACGGGACAGGCACCCCUUCAGUCACGUUUUCCUUCACGUAAGGAUAAAGUAACACAUGCAAACACUCAGUAUGUAGGAGAGGCUCCAUUACGUCAGGUCCUAUCCCCUCCCCUCUUCUGUUGACUCCCUAGCAGGUCCUGACGAGUAUUCCACAGCUCUGCUCCCUCACAGGCACGGUAUUAGAUCUUCCCCCUGCAGGGACAGGGUACCCCGUGCACUCAGCUUGGAGGAGCGGUUUGCUGUGGCUCAUGGCUUGAAGGGUUCAGUCCACGGUCACUGGCUCCAAGGUUGAAAUGUCUUGGUGGAGAACGUACUGGAAGAAGGCUGCUCACCUCGGGAAGCAGAGACGGGAAAUGCUUGAGAGAGGGAGGCCUGGGGACAGGAUCCACGCCAGUGACCUGCUGUCUCCAGCUGGCCGCACCUCCUAAUUAGCCUGUUCACCCGUGAGCUCAUCGAUGGAACCGACUGGUCCUCUGAUGAGCUUAGUGUCACCUCUGUAGGCUCCACCUCUGGACAUUGCUGUGCCAGAGAUGGAGCCCUCCACACAUGUUCUGGGGAGACUUGGGGAGACCUCGUAACAGGUACCUGCAAGCACACUGUGCCCUGCUGAGGAUGGCAGAGAGGGACGGUGGUACAGGAGAGGGCGCCCAGUCACUCCUCUGGGGUAAGUACUCUGCCUCCACUGGCCCCUGUUCACUUGCGCUGUCUGCCUGCAUGCCCUGUAGACCUUGAUCUUGCUUUCUGUGUAGAAACUGUCCCACUUUUCUCCCAGGGCCGGAGGUGAAUGGCACCCUCCCCAGGAAAUGGUUUAUGUUUCCCUCAAGUCGAUGUGGCAUUUGCUGUGGUCUCAUUGAUGCCACUUGCCUAGGCUUCCCUCCCACCUGCCUGCUCCAUGGUGAGCCUGGAGCUCGGCCCUCUCCUUGCAGGGUAGUGAACAAGAGCUCUGGAGAAGGACAGUCUGGCUCCCUCAGGCUCCAGCACGGGUGAACUGGGGCGAAUGAUUUAAUUCCUCUCCACCUCUGUUUCCUCGCCUGCAGAAUGGAGAUACAGGUAUCUUCAAUUUGGAUCAGGUGCCUGUUAAUACUGCUGUAGUCUCUUCCAAUUCUUUCCUUUGGGGCACAUAUCAUAAGUUCCACUAAUGGGGUGAUCAAUCACUUGCAUAUUUCUUCUCUGUUACCAGAGGAGCUCUAAUGAGGCAGAGACCGCAUCUACAUCAUGUAUUGGCUCAUUUCAAGUAUCUAGGACUCGGUUAAAUGAGUGAGUGGAUGAGCCAGCGGGCGUGUUUAUGCUGUGCGUGUCUUAUCUUCCUGGAUGGCUGUUCCUCUUGCCCAUCUUCCCGCCCCACAGUGCCCAGCAGGGAGUAAGUGUUGAACACGAAGCAGACUGGAGAUAAAAGGGCAAUCUUGUGGUGAGCAGGCACCUGUGGGGAGCAGUGAGAAUCUCCCCAGAACCCAGCCGUCUUCCUGCAGUGUUGGCCUCCGCGUCCUCUCUGUAAGAGCAGAGUAACCAGCCAUAACCUGCCGCGCUCCAUCACCAGACCUCGGACUGCCAGUUCCCAAACCGGGCAAACCUUGUCCAGUUCCCAUGACCUCAUCGAACAGAAUCACGGGCCAGGUGGGCCCCACCCUGCCUUCAGCUCCCUGGUGCAGGCACCAGACAGACAGCCGCAGGCUCGAUGGCGGGAGGGACUCGAAGACCGUCCUUGCUUGUCGGAUGGAGUUGCAGCCCUGGCCACUUACCAAAGAAAGGUGUGUCCACAUAAACCCAAGUCACGGUUUCAAGUCAGCCUGCCCCAGGCACGCUGGACCUGGGAGCCUGGAUUUGAGAUCUACCAGAAUCAAGUGUCUGCACAUAAGCUGGUGUUUAUUAUUGUCUUCAAUAAUUGGGUAAAUUGUUUAAAACAACUGAGACCUGAAAGAAGUAUGUGAGAUCGUACAUGUAGAAAUAUGUAAACAUUUGGCUCAUAUAAACAUUUUUAUCGAAUUGUGAAUUCACCACCUACUCUCUCUAAAACAUGGAGCUAGCUGUGACCAGGGAUACAUCCACAAACAUAAUAUGAAACGGGCCAAUGCCUGGUGAUCUUACCGAUAAAUAAGGGAAUGAUAUCGUAAUAACUUGCAUUGAUUAAAGUCUUUUUGAAUGCAGGUAACAAAAAACACCAGCUCACACUGGUUUCAGUAGUGGAGUAGCAAGCCCAGCUCUAGUUAUGAAGGAUUUAGAGUUGGCUGAUUUUAAUAAUGCCGAGCACCCGGAGCCUUCCCAUUUUCCCACUUGGCAUUUUCAGUAUUAGCUCGUUUCUCAGUUUAAGAAGCUGCUGGGUUCCUCUGUGCCAGUCCCCCAUGUGACACUGCUCAAGACAUUGUCCAGGGACAGCAAGAGGCUGUCUUAUGCUGUCUCCUUCGCAGAAUACAGGGUGCGUUUCCUCAGUCCCAGCCAUUCUCCCCUCCGUUUUAGUUUUCCAGAUGGGUCCCAGUCCUACCCCUACAUCAAACACCAGCAAAAUGGGUUGGAGACCAGAAGGAUGAGGGUUUAUUCCCAGGGAACUGGUGGGGUUAGUGGCCCCGAGUAAGGUGACCAACAAUCCCUACUAGGAUAUUUAAUACCAGUCAGUGAUAUCUAUCAGAACAUCUUGUGUGCACUUGGCAUUGAACGGGACCCAGGUCCUUCUCUUCCAUGGCAUCACUUGAAUCUAAACUCUGUGAACUCAGGGAUCUGUGCGCUCUGUUCUGGGCUGUGCCUCAAACACACAGAGAGUGCCCGACACACAGUAGGACUCAGCGAUAUCUGUUGAAUGAAUAAAAUUCUGGCUAUGUGGUUGCACUUUGUUUUUCCCUUGCGGUAACAGGAAUUUAUGGAGAUUAUCUGGCCAUCUAGUUAUGAAGUGUUACAGAGGGAGCUGAACUUGUAUCUGCCAGACUCUGAAUCCAGUGCUUACAUGAAUCACUUUGACCUGCUGUCUUCCUUAUUAGUGAAUUACAGAUAAGGUGUUCUGGAAUUUCUGAAGACCUUGUAUUAAUUCUUUAAAGUUAGGAGACUUCCUAGGGAAGAUGUGUAUGAUUCCUGUAUGAGUCCUAAACAUGUAUGUUCUUACAGAUAACAGCAAAUCUGCUUCUGCUUUGGGUCUGUUACAGUCUAUGCCUGCACUGGCUCUCUCUGUCCCCCACACACCCUCCCUCCUACCCUGACAGUCUGUGGAUUAAGCUCAGAUCACAGCCUCAGCAAAACCACUGCCCACUUCUGUGACCCCAAUCAGGAAGUGCAUCUCUCACAAACUGUUUUCUCAUCUGUGAAAUGGGAAUCAUCACUCUUGUCCUGACCACCACAGCAUGGGGGUUUCGAGUCCCUUGAGAUAACAUUGCAGAGGACUUUGGAGGAAGUAAACAUAGGUAAAAUCUGGAUCCCGAAAGGCUUUAAUGGGCGACAUGAACAGCAAACAUGCCAAAGCUUCGGUGGUGCAGGAGCCCAGCCUGAAGGAUCCGGGGGCAUCGAGAUGCUGCAGAGUCCUUGGCUUUCUCUGCAAGCAUUGGCCAGACUCUCUGGCCAGACUUCAGGGACCACCACAGACCCGGCCCAGAACAAGCAAGAAAGGCACCGAACUCCGCUGCCCAGCUUCCCGUCUUCCUGAAGUGUUUUCACUGGAAGCUUCUUUCUUCUUCCUGUCUGGGAAAAUCUGUUCUCAAGAAAUUAGCUCUUAAGAAAAAUCAAAAAAGAAACUCCCUUCCACCAUCCUGCCUUGGAAUUUCACCAGGCUGCACUUCCAAUCUUGACCAGAAAUGAGCCCUGACUCACAGCUCUGCUCGGGGUGAGGGGAGCUUGAGCGCCCCGUUUGUCUCCCCAGGAGCCGACAUCCUGAUGGUUAUCAGCACACAGCGAGCUGCAGGGAGCCUUCCCUCGGAAAAAACAUGGGGGAAAUUCACGCCGGGGAAUUCCGCUCUCGCCUCGCUGGACUUGAUCGGUCUGAGAGCUUCCGUACCCUGUUCUCUACCACCUCGCCCGUGCCCAGUAGGGCACAGAUCCUGCCACUCAUCUCCUCACCCGAGUCACAUUUUCCUUCAGGACUCACCCCGACCUCAAGUCCACUCACGCCGCCCCGGGACAGCACUGCAGCCCCUGCGGUCAGAGGCAGUGAGGGCGGCCGCAUUCCGUACUGACGGCCCGGUCUGCUCUCCGCGUGGGCACACAUUCCCGCCUCAGCAGCAGGGCGCAGCUGCUGCCAUCUUUGUUUUAGGGACAUGGAAAAACUACACCAGCGUGAGUCAUUAAGCAGUGGGCCCAAGGGAACUUACAAAGGACUGGGUGGGACUGAAAGCCAGGCAGGCUGGCUCAGAGAUGUGGUUUGGACCAGAACUCCACAGUCUCCUACCCUGCUCAGAGGAGGUUCUGAAGGUUCAGAAGCAUAGCAGGCAGUGAGAAAGAAGAGGAAGUCCAAGCAGGAGAGCGAACUGUGGGGUGUGUUUGCCGGCUUCCCUCAGCUUUCAGAGCUGGUUUGCACAAAGCCAGCUCCUGAAGGGGUUCCACUUGGCCCGUGCUAAGGAACUGAUGCAUUUCUGGUCAAGGCGGCUACGAAGACAGCUGACCUGGACCUGGCCUGGCUCCUCUGUCGUCUGUUACCCGUUUUUAUCUCCUCAUCUGGUCACUCCUAAUCUCCUAAUUAACCGGAAUUCCCCACGCGUGACUGCUCUGGGCCCCAGCGGAUCCACCUCUGCGAGCUCACACUGGGUUACUAUUCAGCGUCUUCUGCAUGUGCUUCACUGGAGAAGAAGAUCUGAUUUUUGGUGAAGUCCGUAUUAUCAGUUUUUUCUUUAGAGGGCGCGCUUUCCAAUCUAAGAGCUAUUUCCCCAGCCCUAAGUGGGAGGUUUUCUCUAUAUUUUCUUCUAAAUGGUAUUUUUUAUGUUUUGCAUUUAAACAUACAAUCUAUUUUGAGUUAAUAUUUAUACAAGGUCUUAAGCUUACGUCAAGUUCCAUUUUUUAAUAGAUAAAAGACUUUAUGGAUACAGAGCUUCUCUAGCGCCAUUUGCUGGAAAGUCGUCCCUUCCUCCGUGGAAUGCAAUCUGCUGAAAAUCAGUAGUGGGAUAAGCAGCAGGGUAGCUGUGCCUGCAUGCUGGGCUCAGCGUUUCAGCAGAGUGUGGUGUCCUCCGGGCCCUGGACACGCCCUCGCUCCACGCACGGCCUCGUCCUGCUGUCUUCUGACUAACGCUGGCAUCCUAUGUCGCUUCCUCCCCCCUGUGUUCCCAACCCAUCCAUAUUAUUGAUAGAAUUUUUGGCGCGGCUACAAAGAUAAGAAAUAUGAAAUAAAAGUGGCCUUUAUUUUAAGAA